rnacentral:snRNA from 1 species
UAAUGUGAACAUAUUCAAGGAUA